ACACGAGGUCUGAGAGACAGAGGCAGCGUGUUUGAGCUGCUGGUGCGGUGGUCAGCGCGAUGCCCAAGGCCAAGGGCAAAACCCGGAGGCAGAAGUUUGGUUACAGUGUCAACCGAAAGCGUCUGAACCGGAAUGCUCGACGGAAGGCAGCGCCGCGGAUCGAAUGGUGAGGGGGCUGGGGUUCCGGGUGGCCGUGGGCCUCGGCCGGGACGGUCCGCGAGAUGACGGAUCCGCGAUGUCUCUCUUUGCCGGUAGCUCCCACAUCCGACAUGCCUGGGACCACGCUAAAUCGGUACGGCAGAACCUGGCCGAGAUGGGGUUGGCUGUGGACCCCAACAGGGCGGUGCCCCUCCGUAAGAGAAAGGGCUCUGUUCUCUGCAGGUGAAGGCCAUGGAGGUGGACAUAGAGGAGAGGCCUAAAGAGCUUGUACGGAAGCCCUAUGUGCUGAAUGACCUGGAGGCAGAAGCCAGCCUUCCAGAAAAGAAAGGAAAUACUCUGUCUCGGGACCUCAUUGACUAUGUACGCUACAUGGUAGAGAACCACGGGGAGGACUAUAAGGCCAUGGCCCGUGAUGAGAAGAAUUACUAUCAAGAUACCCCAAAACAGAUUCGGAGUAAGAUCAACGUCUAUAAACGCUUUUACCCAGCAGAGUGGCAAGACUUCCUCGAUUCUUUGCAGAAGAGGAAGAUGGAGGUGGAGUGACUGGUUUACAUCACAGCUGCCCCAGGCUGAGGCGUCCCCCGGACCAGUGAAGCUGGAGCCAGGGUGUAAGGCAAGGAGGUGCUGUGUGGCUCCAGAGGAGCUGGCCAGGUCCCAUGGAAUCAGAAGGUUACACACACACGUGCACACUCCCCGCUCUGGGGAAGGAACUGUUCUCAGAGGCUCCAAUUUAUAUUCAUCUGGGGGUUCACGGAAAAGCCAGAACCUGCUGUUUUCAGGGUGGGUGAUGUAAAUAUAGUGUGUACAUAAUAAAGCAAAUAUAUUUUA